UUUCAGCUCGGAGGUCGGGCCCUGUGAUGGAGCACGCUCUGCUCAAUGACGAGAGGGUUCUGAAGGAGAUCCAGAGCACGCUGGAGGGAGACCGAGGGAGCUGUGGCGAUUGGCGUUCUCAGCGCGUGGCCGUGGGGUACAGCCUCAGCAACGGGGGAG